rnacentral:rRNA from 1 species
UACGAAGGGGGCUAGCGUUGUUCGGAUUUACUGGGCGUAAAGCGCACGUAGGCGGAUUGAUCAGUCAGGGGUGAAAUCCCAGAGCUCAACUCUGGAACUGCCUUUGAUACUGUCGAUCUGGAGUAUGGAAGAGGUGAGUGGAAUUCCGAGUGUAGAGGUGAAAUUCGUAGAUAUUCGGAGGAACACCAGUGGCGAAGGCGGCUCACUGGUCCAUUACUGACGCUGAGGUGCGAAAGCGUGGGGAGCAAACAGG